rnacentral:rRNA from 1 species
UAAUUCUAGAGCUAAUACAUGCUGUAAGCCCGACUUCACGGAAGGGCCGUAUUUAUUAGAUAACAGACCAAUAUUCCUCGUGUCUAUUGUGGUGAAUCAUAGUAACUAAUCGGAUCGCAUGGGACUUUCCCGCGACAAACCAUUCAAGUUUCUGCCCCAUCAGCUUUCGAUGGUAGUGUAUUGGACUACCAUGGCUUUUACGGGUAACGGAGGAUUAGGGUUCGAUUCCGGAGAGGGAGCCUGAGAAACGGCUACCACAUCUAAGGGAGGCAGCAGGCGCGUAAAUUACCCAAUCCUAAUUCAGGGAGGUAGUGACAAGAAAUAACGGAUCGGGGCUCUGCCCUGGGACU